rnacentral:rRNA from 1 species
CCCUUAGAUGUUCUGGGCCGCACGCGCGCUACACUGAUGCAUUCAACGAGCCUAUCCUUGACCGACAGGUCCGGGUAAUCUUUGAAUCUGCAUCGUGACGGGGAUAGAUUAUUGCAAUUAUUAAUCUUCAACGAGGAAUGCCUAGUAGGCGCAAGUCAUCAGCUUGCGUCGAUUACGUCCCUGCCCUUUGUACACACCGCCCGUCGCUCCUACCGAUUGGGUGAGCCGAUGAAACUCCCGGAUGUGAGCUCUCGUGAGAUUGCAGAAGGGAUUUGAAUCGUAGCGCUUAGAGGAAGGAGAAGUCGUAACA